UACGGAGGGUGCGCGCGUUAAUCGGAAUUACUGGGCGUAAAGCGCACGUAGGCGGUCAGAUAAGUCGGAUGUGAAAGCCCUGGGCUUAACCUGGGAACUGCAUUCGAUACUGUCUGGCUAGAGUAUGGGAGAGGGAAGCGGAAUUUCCGGUGUAGCGGUGAAAUGCGUAGAUAUCGGAAGGAACACCAAUGGCGAAGGCAGCUUCCUGGCCCAAUACUGACGCUCAGGUGAGAAAGCGUGGGGAUCAAACAGG
rnacentral:rRNA from 1 species